CUCUGUCAUAAAAAUUACUCAAGAUAUAACGUGUCCAUGCACUGCUGUUGUGGAUGUGUUCUGUUCAAACCAAAUUGUACAAGCCCAUGUCACUCUUGAGACACCGGGAAACAGUCUGAGGAUAUUUCAGGGAAUCCUGAUCACCGAACUUACAGUACUUUUUGUCUCCCACACUGUGGGUUUGAAACUCAGACAAAAGACAUGUAACAAUCUGGCUUGGCAGAUAGCAGAGAUCUAGCUGAAUCUCCAUGAGAGUGUUAUCAUCUGUGCAUCCAGAUUGUGACAUAAGAUGUCUAACUUGACACGGUUGGUGACACGGUGCACUUUUGUCUCUUCACUCGUUUUCCAUUGCAGCCACCAGUCGCCUUUCCUCUCCUCUGUUCCCAAGGCAGUCUUUUCAGCAGUGCUCCUUGUUGGUGUUCACCUUUUUUCCACUUCCUCACUCCCAUGUGCUGACUCCUACUUACUUCAUUUUCUCUCACAUACAUUUUGAUGCCAUACAUUAAAUGCCAUUUUAGUUCUCUAUAUAAAUAAAGAAAUGUGUCAGUAUUUGUAACCCUGUUUGUUCUUUCUCUCUGCCAGUUUUACCUCCAUUCAUCUCUGAAAGACUGUGGACAAUUUAAGGAUAUGUUUGUGCAGCCCAGUAGUAACUGGGACUAUUGGAGGGAAUAGGGAGAGGUUUUUCAUUACCAUUCUGACAAGGUUUGAUUUUUGUCUUCUUUUUUUUGAGGCAGUUGGCAGCAGCGUGGUCCUUUGUGCUGAUGAAAUGCUGGAGGAUAUACAGGAGUGUCACUAUUUGAAUCAGUGUUACAGAUAAAAAUAGUUCUUACAAAACCUACUUUGUGUAACUUUCAUAAUAACUUAAUUCACUUUAGCAGCUUUCAAAAUUUCUUCCACUUUUUGCUUUUUACUGCAUUUGACAGAGGUGAGUGUAUUUGCUCCUGAAGAGACCCCAAGUGUGCAGUGAGGAAAGAGCAGGGAUAUAUUUAUUAUACACUGUGAGAUGAAGGGGGAGUUAGAGAGCUGCCAUUCUUCUGGAUGUGUCCACCUCGUGUCUGAAUUGAUUUCCAUGUGGAAAUGCACCAGAGCUGUUUUUGGAGGACUGCCUCUGUAAGGAAACCCAACAAGUACUUCAAAAGAAACACUGCAGACCUCUCAGAAAUGCCUGUGGACUACUGAUGGUCUUCAAAGAAUUUGGGCGGCACUAUGGAGCAGCGUUAAUCACUGCAGGUAAGGGAGGAAGUGUUAACUUAGAAUCUGUGGGGAUGUUACAGCUGAUAUUUUUCAUACAUAAUAACCUUGUUCCUCUUAGAGCAUUUCAUGUAUUUGGUAUUUAAAUUAGACUUCAUUUAGUAAUAUAGCUUAGUGUACCAUCUGAAACCAAAGAUGCAGAAUCUUUAAGUGUUUUAUCAUCCUUCUCAGUCUCUUCAAGUCCUUGUCAGUGUUGAAGCAGUUCUUUUAUGGCUCAGUUAAAGCACGUGCAGAAAUUUCCAAAAGUUUUAUUUGAAACUAUUACUGAUUUCCAUAACAAAGUGUAAAAAAAGCAACACAGUGGCCUAAACGGAGAUGAGAGACUCUUAAGAUUCCUCUUUAAACACAACAAACACACGGAAUCAUUGAGAAAGCCUGUGUAAGCUCAUGAAGUUGAUGUUAGACAAGAAAAAUGCUGACUGAAUUGCAGUGGCAAAUAUUUAAUCUUUCUAGAGGUCAGGGAUGUUUUAAAUAGAAGAGUGUUUUUUCCUCUUCAUUUAGCCCAUUGUCUCUUUAUUGCUGGUUGUGCUAGAUUCUUUCUGACAUCCUAAGAAAGUAUUGAUGGCUAUGGAAUAGAGGACCUAACAGUGGCUGUCAUGACAAACAGAGUGUAGGAAUAUCCAGAUUUCUUCC
rnacentral:lncRNA from 1 species